rnacentral:ncRNA from 14 species
GGGCAUAGUUUAGUGGUAAAACCCUAGCCUUCCAAGCUCGUGAUGGGGGUUCGAUUCCCCCUGCCC